UUAGUUGCCAUCAGGUUAUGCUGGGCACUCUAAAGGGACUGCCGGUGAAAAACCGGAGGAAGGUGGGGAUGACGUCAAGUCCUCAUGGCCUUUAUGUCCAGGGCUACACACGUACUACAAUGGAUGGCACAAUGAGUCGCAAACUCGCGAGAGGGAGCCAAUCUCAAAAAACCAUUCUCAGUUCGGAUUGCAGUCAAGAGGAGGAACUGCAUGAAGCUGGAAUCGCUAGUAAUCGCUGAUCAGCAAGCAGCGGUGAAUACGUUCCC
rnacentral:rRNA from 1 species